rnacentral:rRNA from 1 species
UAAAGCGUCCGUAGGUGGUUGUCCAAGUCAGUUGUUAAAGCGUAGAGCUUAACUCUAUAACGGCAAUUGAAACUGGAAGACUAGAGUGCGAUAGGGGCAAGGGGAAUUCCCAGUGUAGCGGUGAAAUGCGUAGAUAUUGGGAAGAACAUCGGUGGCGAAGGCGCCUUGCUGGGUCUGCACUGACACUGAGGGACGAAAGCUAGGGGAGCGAAAGGGAUUAGAUACCCUGU